GUCCGUAGCGGGAGAUUAUUUUUUAGACAAAUCCAAACGAGGGAGUGGAGCGUGGAGAUGGGAGACGGCGGCGGCGGGCGGGAGGCGGCGCUGCUCCGGCGGUGCUCGUCGUCGCGGUGGGGCGUGAGCGGCCGGCGGCUGCUGAGCGGGGCGGGCGACGGGGCGUGGCGGGCGGGCGACGGGGCGUGGCGGGCGCACGCCGGGAUGGUCCUGGUCAUGCUCGCCUACAGCGGCUACCACGUCCUCACCAAGUCCGUCCUCAACGUCGGCAUGAACCAGGUCGUCUUCUGCGUCUACCGCGACCUGCUCGCGUGCGCCGUCCUCGCCCCCGUCGCCUUCCUCCGCGAGAGAAGGGUGAGGCCUCCAGUGACCCCUCAGUUACUUGCCUCCUUUGCUCUUCUUGGCUUCACAGGGCUCUAUGGGAACCCCCUCCUUUUCCUCGUCGGCCUCCGCUACACGAAUGCUUCGUACGCUGCGGCUUUCCAGCCCUCAAUACCAGUGUUCACAUUUGUCUUGGCUGCAAUUGUCGGCGUUGAAGCAAUCAACAUCUUCAAGAAGGAUGGCAUCCUCAAAGUUAUCGGUACAGUUGUAUGUGUCUCUGGUGCCGUUCUGAUGGUUUUGUAUAGAGGUCAAUCCUUGAUUGGCUUGGGAGGCAACAAUACAUCAAAUGGUAUUGUUAUUCCGGGCACAUGGAGCAGCAAUCCCUAUCCACCCGACUGGUUGACAUCAACCAUGUUUGAGUAUGGUGUAGAAACAUGGCAUCUUGGUGUCUUGUGUCUUUUAGGAAACUGCAUCAUGGUGGCUGCUUAUCUCGUCAUACAGGCUCCUGUGAUGAUAAGAUAUCCUGCAAGCUUAUCCUUGACAGCGUAUUCGUAUUUCUUUGCCACCAUCUUUAUGGUGUUAACUGGAGUACUUGUAACCGAUGGGCUCCAUGAGUGGGCACUGACAAAAACAGAGAUCAUAGCUGUUCUAUAUGCCGGGAUUGUUGCAUCUUGCCUAAGCUACUCAAUUAUGACAUGGGCAAACAAAAUACUUGGACCUUCUCUAGCUGCUCUCUAUAAAUGAAUUGUCUAUUUUUUUUGGUUGAACUGGUCGGUGCAUGUAAUUCAAUAAUAAUGUAUCCUUCAAAUCCACAUGUAUUGGCUGCAGAGGACCCAGGUCGAACGAACUGGUCGUAAGAGAGUGGCAUGUGAAGCAGGCUUAACAAAUGGUUUGCCAGCCAAACGAGACAAUGAGGUGACUAUUGUAAGACGUACUUCGUAUGGGUUAGUCUCAAACAAAACACCAUCCUGGUGCAGUGGUUGUUUGUCCAUUGGUAGCACAAAUGAGGUGGCUCUCCGCCCCCAGAGAUUGUUUUUGACACAAAUCCAAGCCAAGUAACGUGGGGGUGGAGAUGGGAGCCGGCGGCGAUGGGCCGAUGGCGGCGCUGCUCAAGUGGUGCGCGUCGUCGCGGUGCCGGUGGGGCAUGAUCGGCCGGCGGCUGGUGAGUGUGGCGGGCGGCACGGCGUGGCGGGCGCACGGCGGGAUGGUCCUGGUCAUGCUCGCCUACAGCGGCUACCACGUCCUGAUCACCAAGUCCGUCCUCAACGUCGGCAUCAACCAGGUGGUCUUCUGCGUCUACCGUGACCUGCUCGCGUUCGCCGUCCUCGCCCCCGUCGCCUUCCUCCACGAGAGAAGAGUGAGGCCUCCGGUGACCCCUCGGCUCCUCGGAUCCUUUGCUCUUCUUGGCUUCACUGGGCUCUACGCGAACCCCCUCCUCUUCCUCGUCGGCCUCCGCUACACGAACGACGCUUCCUGCGCGGCAGCUCUGCAGCCCUCCAUAGCAGCGAUCACAUUUGUCUUGGCUGCGAUCGUCGGUUACGGUGACUAUAUAUCAUAAGUUCAUAACACUAAAUUUGAUUGGCAAUUCAGGAUUCACGUUCAUUGUCUCACACUGUCAGUCUGUCACUGACUUGCACCCAUUACAUACAUUGCCUCAAAUUUGGGUGUUAAUCCUGCUUUCAUCAGCAUUGAAGCCAUCAACAUCUUCACGAAAGAUGGCAUCCUCAGAGUUCUCGGCACGGUUGUAUGCGUCUCUGGUGCCAUUCUGAUGGCUUUGUACAGAGGUCCAUCCUUGAUUGGCUUGGGAGGCACCAAUGCAGCAAGUGGUACUGUUACUCCAGGCACAUGGAGCAGUAGCACUCCCUAUCCGGCCCAGUGGUUGACAUCAACCAUGCUCGAGUAUGGUGUGGAAACAUGGCAUCUUGGUGUCUUGUGUCUUGUAGGAAACUGUCUCAUGGCGUCUGCUUAUCUGGUCAUACAGGCUCCUGUAACAAUAAGAUAUCCUGCAAGCAUAUCCUUGACAGCUUAUUCAUUUUUUUUUUUUGCCGCCAUCUUUAUGGUGCUAACUGGAGUACUUGCAACCAAUGAGCUCCAUGAGUGGGCACUGACAAAAACAGAGAUCAUAGCUGUUCUAUAUGCCGGAAUUGUUGCAUCUUGUCUAAGCUACUCAAUUAUGACAUGGGCAAACAAAAUACCUGGACCUUCUCUAGUUGAUCUGUGUAAUCCACUGCAACCAGCAUUUUCCGCUAUCAUCUCAACUAUUUUUCUUGGUGACCCUGUUUAUCUCGGAAGCAUUAUUGGGGGAGUCUUCAUAAUUGCUGGUUUAUACAUGGUUACUUGGGCUCGCUACAAUGAAGCACAGCAAGCUCUGAUCAACGAUUGUUUGGACCCUCUUCUUGCGGGACCCUCGAGAGUUCCAAAGACACAGGAACAUUCCUUCAUGGAUCCUUAAAUCUCAGUGGAUCAAAUGGUUGCCUCAACAACAUAAGUCACAUUGUAUGGAGUUAUGCUGAAAUAUACUUUGAGAAACAUAAUAAUCCUCUCCAAUCCACUUGUAUUCGAGGCACUGAAGUGAAAAUUAUAUUAGCUUAUUUUUCAUUGCAACCCACAUAGAUUCAAAGCAAAUGUGUUUAUUCAAACAAGCCCUCAAAAUA